rnacentral:rRNA from 1 species
UACGAAGGGGGCUAGCGUUGCUCGGAAUCACUGGGCGUAAAGGGUGCGUAGGCGGUCCUUUAAGUCAGGGGUGAAAUCCUGGAGCUCAACUCCAGAACUGCCUUCGAUACUGAGGAUCUUGAGGUCGGGAGAGGUGAGUGGAACUGCGAGUGUAGAGGUGAAAUUCGUAGAUAUUCGCAAGAACACCAGUGGCGAAGGCGGCUCACUGGCCCGAUACUGACGCUGAGGAGCGAAAGUGUGGGGAGCAAACAGG